rnacentral:tRNA from 1 species
GGGCCCAUAGCUCAGCUGGUAGAGCACCUGACUUUUAAUCAGGUUGUCGCAAGUUCGAACCUUGCUGGGCUCACCA